GACGAACGCUGGCGGCGUGCUUAACACAUGCAAGUCGAACGAAGUGGCGAACGGGUGAGUAACGCGUAAUCAACCUGCCCUUCAGCGGGGGACAACAGGUGGAAACGACUGCUAAUACCGCAUACUGAAGGAGGGGAUUGCGUCUGAUUAGCUGGUUGGAGGGGUAACGGCCCACCAAGGCGAUGAUCAGUAGCCGGUCUGAGGGGGUGGACGGCCCCAUUGGGAAUGGGGAACGGCCCAGGCUCCUACGGGAGGCAGCCGUGGGGGAUCUUCCGCAAUGGACGGAAGUCUGACGGGGCAACGCCGCGUGAGUGAUGACGGCCUUCGGGUUGUAAAGCUCUUUUAAUCGGGACGCGGUACCGAAAUAGAAAGCCACGGCUAACUACGUGCCAGCAGCCGCGGUAAUUC
rnacentral:rRNA from 1 species